GUGAAGAGACGGUUGAAUCUCUAACCUAUCAAUUUGGGGGCUCGUCUGGGAUUACCAUCAAUCAGAGUUGAAUCUGUCGGUUACGAACGUAGUCAGCUCUGCAAUCUGACGAGACAACCCACUGAGAGCAGACAGCAGUUUUCUCUCAUCGAUCUGCGGACUUCCCGACACAGGUCCAUCGCGUCCAGACACAGGAGUCGACGGAGAGUAGAACGCGAGGCGCCGUCCAGCCAUUGAAGAUCACCAAGCAGCAAAAAUCCCAGAAACCAAGAGAAAGUUCCGGAGCACAUGAAAACUACAGUACCUGGAUGAGUAUGUGACUGAAGAGGGGGAAAGCCUUGCUGAGGAGCAGAGUGAAGCCUGUCCAGACAUACAAGAUGGAGAGGGGCAUGGAAGUGAUCAGUCCAGAAGUGAAAAACCAGAAGACUUGAUGAAAUUUCUGGCCAUGAUGCUUUUGUCAUGGCAAUCAGCCUUCAAGAUUUCUGAUAACGCCAUCAUAUCGCUUCUUCUGUGCAUCAAACAGUUUGUGUGGAUACUUGGAAAUGUUCUCUGUGUUAAUUCCCUCACUGCCUUUUCCAUCAAUAUUCCAGCAAUAUACAGGUUUUGUACUAUUGCUAUUAUUGAUAGACAUAUACCCUUGGCUGCUACUUUCACAGUACACUGUUGAAACACAUUAUUGUUGCAUUCAUGUCUUUGUUAUUUUUAGUACUAGUAAAAGUUUUUCAUCUCACUGUGUACUAUGUAUGGCUUAAAUGACAAUAAACCUUCU